rnacentral:misc_RNA from 1 species
GAUGAAGAACGUAGCGAAAUGCGAUACUUGGUGUGAAUUGCAGAAUCCCGUGAACCAUCGAGUCUUUGAACGCAAGUUGCGCCUCAAGCCAUUAGGUUGAGGGCACGUCUGCCUGGGCGUCAUAUAUCGUUGCCUGAUGCCAGUUUCCUCGUGAUGGGUGACUGUGCAGGGCGAAUGAUGGCUUCCCGUGAGCAUUGUUGCCUCAUGGUUGGUUGAAAAUUGAGUCCUUGGUAGGGAGCGCCGUGAUAGAUGGUGGUUGAGUGACGAACGAGACCCAAUCAUGUGAGACCCCUACCGAAUUUGGCCUUCAUGACCCACAUGCGUCUUUGGAACGCUCAUGACGAGACCUCAGGUCAGGCGGGGCUACCCGCUGAGUUUAAGCAUAUCAAUAAGCGGAGGA